AAGCUUGCUUCUCUUGAGAGCGGCGGACGGGUGAGUAAUGCCUAGGAAUCUGCCUGGUAGUGGGGGAUAACGUUCGGAAACGGACGCUAAUACCGCAUACGUCCUACGGGAGAAAGCAGGGGACCUUCGGGCCUUGCGCUAUCAGAUGAGCCUAGGUCGGAUUAGCUAGUUGGUGAGGUAAUGGCUCACCAAGGCGACGAUCCGUAACUGGUCUGAGAGGAUGAUCAGUCACACUGGAACUGAGACACGGUCCAGACUCCUACGGGAGGCAGCAGUGGGGAAUAUUGGACAAUGGGCGAAAGCCUGAUCCAGCCAUGCCGCGUGUGUGAAGAAGGUCUUCGGAUUGUAAAGCACUUUAAGUUGGGAGGAAGGGUUGUAGAUUAAUACUCUGCAAUUUUGACGUUACCGACAGAAUAAGCACCGGCUAACUCUGUGCCAGCAGCCGCGGUAAUACAGAGGGUGCAAGCGUUAAUCGGAAUUACUGGGCGUAAAGCGCGCGUA
rnacentral:rRNA from 1 species